rnacentral:rRNA from 1 species
CUACGGGGCGCAGCAGUGGGGAAUAUUGGACAAUGGGGGAAACCCUGAUCCAGCAAUGCCGCGUGUGUGAAGAAGGCCUGCGGGUUGUAAAGCACUUUCGGUUGGGAGGACUGCUUCUAGCACUAAUAUUGUUGGAAGUUGACGUUACCUUCAGAAGAAGCACCGGCUAACUCCGUGCCAGCAGCCGCGGUAAUACGGAGGGUGCAUGCGUUAAUCGGAAUUACUGGGCGUAAAGCGCGCGUAGGCGGCUAGAUCAGUCGGGUGUGAAAGCCCCGGGCUUAACCUGGAACUGCAUCCGAUACUGUCUAGCUUGAGUACAGGAGAGGAGAGUGGAAUUCCACAUGUAGCGGUAAAAUGCGUAGAUAUGUGGAGGAACACCAAUGGCGAAGGCAGCUCUCUGGCCUGAUACUGACGCUGAGGUGCGAAAGCGUGGGGAGCAAACAGGAUUAGAUACCCUUGUAGUC